rnacentral:rRNA from 1 species
AUGGCAGCUUCAGCUCUCCACUCCACUGGCACUGCGGCCAUGUCUCUCUCCCUCUUCCUGCUCGCGGCCAUCGCCGCCUCAUCAUUCUCUCCGGCCAACGCACAGGCGUCGUCGUCAUGCGCGAGCCACACCUUCUCGAGCAACCAGCUCUAUGCGUCGUGCACCGCCCUGCCGCGCCUCGGCACCACGCUGCACUACAACUACACGGCCGAGGGCAACUCGGUCGCCGUGGCGUUCCGCGCGCCGCAGACGAGCAAGGCCGGCGGGUGGGUGGCGUGGGGGCUCAACCCCAACGGCACGGGCAUGGUGGGCACGCAGGCCGUGGUGGCGUUCCGGCAUUCCAACGGCAGCCUCGUCGCGUACCCGACGAUGCUGGACAGCUACGCGCCGUCCAUGGCGCCCGCGGACGGCGCCGAGCUGGCGUUCCCCGUGUCGGACGUGGCGGCCGAGUACGCCAAGAACGGCAAGGAGAUGGUCGUGUACGCGACGGUCGCGCUGCCCGGGAAGGGGAGCAAGUUCACCCACGUCUGGCAGCAGGGGGGCUCCGUGGUGGACGACGUGCCGGCGGCGCACCCCACCACCGGGGAUAACGUGCUCUCCACGGGCACCAUCGAUUUCAGCAAGUGA